UACAGAGGUCUCAAGCGUUGUUCGGAUUCAUUGGGCGUAAAGGGUGCGUAGGUGGUGGGGUAAGUCGGAUGUGAAAUCCCGGGGCUCAACCCCGGAACUGCAUUCGAUACUGCCUUGCUCGAGUACUGGAGAGGAGACUGGAAUUUACGGUGUAGCAGUGAAAUGCGUAGAUAUCGUAAGGAAGACCAGUGGCGAAGGCGAAUCUCUGGACAGUUACUGACACUGAGGCACGAAGGCCAGGGGAGCAAACGGG
rnacentral:rRNA from 1 species